rnacentral:rRNA from 1 species
GUAAUACAUCGGAACGUGCCCAGUAGUGGGGGAUAGCCCGGCGAAAGCCGGAUUAAUACCGCAUACGACCUACGGGUGAAAGCGGGGGACCGAAAGGCCUCGCGCUAUUGGAGCGGCCGAUGGCUGAUUAGCUAGUUGGUGGAGUAAAGGCCUACCAAGGCUACGAUCAGUCGCUGGUCUGAGAGGACGACCAGCCACACUGGGACUGAGACACGGCCCAGACUCCUACGGGAGGCAGCAGUGGGGAAUUUUGGACAAUGGGCGAAAGCCUGAUCCAGCAAUGCCGCGUGUGCGAAGAAGGCCUUCGGGUUGUAAAGCACUUUUGUCAGGAAAGAAAUUGUCUGGGCUAAUACCCCGGGCCGUUGACGGUACCUGAAGAAUAAGCACCGGCUAACUACGUGCCAGCAGCCGCGGUAAUACGUAGGGUGCGAGCGUUAAUCGGAAUUACUGGGCGUAAAGCGUGCGCAGGCGGUUUGUUAAGACAGUUGUGAAAUCCCCGGGCUCAACCUGGGAACUGCAAUUGUGACUGGCAGGCUAGAGUUUGGCAGAGGGGGGUGGAAUUCCUGGUGUAGCAGUGAAAUGCGUAGAUAUCAGGAGGAACACCGAUGGCGAAGGCAGCCCCCUGGGCCAUGACUGACGCUCAUGCA